CUUUUUUUACUUUGCUUGAGCGGAAAAGGUUGGCUGCUUUUCAACUACGUUGUGGGCCAGAAAAGGU
rnacentral:tRNA from 1 species